GGGGAUUUUGGCCUUGCUAGAUGGAAGACCACUGACGAGGUGCAGACAAGGAUACUUGGCACACUGGGAUAUCUUGCUCCAGAGUAUGCAGAAAAUGGUAUUGUUUCUGUGAGAACGGAUGUCUAUGCACUUGGCAUUAUUCUCUUGCAACUAAUAUCAGGACAAAAAGUAGUUGAUUCAAAAAGACAGGAAGGACAACAAUCACUUCGACAGU
rnacentral:misc_RNA from 1 species